CUUGCCUGUAUCACAGCGGUUUCACGUUCAACGCUGAAGCUCACAUCAAUGCCAUUGUUAAAGUAGAUAACUGGCUACUAGCUAACUAUUUAUAGUUGUAUUAUUCUCAGCUACAUCUUAUCUCAUAACCAGGCCAACAUAAAACAGUGGUACAUAUGGAGCUGACAUGGGAGGACGUCCCGCUCCCAUCCCCAGACUGUCUAUUAUUUAACAAAGACCUAUAUGACAAGUACUCCCUGGCGCCGACCAUCAAGGGACUGUGGUCUAUCGCUGUUGUAAGUCCCACAGUAAAGGUUUGACAGUGAAGGAG